AAUGAUAGAAAUGGAGGAAAGCAAACUACUGGGUAUAGAGUUCAAAACCACACUUUUAAGGUUUUUCAAGAACUUUCUUGAAACCGCUGAUAAAUCUACUAAGACCCUCAAAAAGUCUGGUGAGACCGCCGAUAAAUGUAGUGAGACCCUCAAGAAAUCUAGAGUGAGGGCACAGGCC